GCGGCAACAGCUCAAAUUUGAAAUCUGGUCCCCCCGCGGGGCCCGAGUUGUAAUUUGAAGAGGAUGCUUCUGGCAAGGUGCCGUCCGAGUUCCCUGGAACGGGACGCCGCAGAGGGUGAGAGCCCCGUACGGUCGGACGCCGAGCCUCUGUGAAGCUCCUUCGACGAGUCGAGUAGUUUGGGAAUGCUGCUCAAAAUGGGAGGUAAACCCCUUCUAAAGCUAAAUACCGGCCAGAGACCGAUAGCGCACAAGUAGAGUGAUCGAAAGAUGAAAAGCACUUUGAAAAGAGAGUUAAAAAGCACGUGAAAUUGUUGAAAGGGAAGCGCUUGCGACCAGACUCGCGCCCGUCGGAUCAGCCGUCGCUCGUCGGCGGCGCACUCCGGCGGGCUCGGGCCAGCAUCAGUUCGCCUCGGGGGGAGAAAGGCGGCGGGAAUGUGGCUCUACGGAGUGUUAUAGCCCGCCGCGUAAUACCCCCGGGCGGACUGAGGACCGCGCGUAUGCAAGGAUGCUGGCGUAAUGGUCGUCAGCGACCCGUCUUGAAACACGGAC
rnacentral:rRNA from 1 species